AUUGAACGCUGGCGGCAGGCCUAACACAUGCAAGUCGAGCGGAACGGCGGACGGGUGAGUAAUGCCUAGGAAGCUGCCUGGUAGUGGGGGAUAACGUCCGGAAACGGGCGCUAAUACCGCAUACUAGCAGAUGAACCUAGGUCGGAUUAGCUAGUUGGUGGGGUAAAGGCCUACCAAGGCGACGAUCCUUAACUGGUCUGAGAGGAUGAUCAGUCACACUGUAAUCGAGACACGGUCCAGACUCCUACGUGAGGCAGCCGUGGGGAAUAUUGGACAACUGGCGAAAGCCUGAUCCAGCCAUGCCGCGUGUGUGAAGAAGGUCUUCGGAUUGUAAAGCACUUUAAGUUGGGAGGCGUUUCCAACAGAAUACGCACCGGCUAACUUCGUGCCAGCAGCCGCGGUAAUAC
rnacentral:rRNA from 1 species